AGCAGCCGCGGUAAUUCCAGCUCCAAUAGCGUAUAUUAAAGUUGUUGCAGUUAAAAAGCUCGUAGUUGAAUUUCGGGAUCAAUAUGCUGGUCGUGCCAUUGGUACGUACUAGUAUUAUUGGUUUCUCCUUUCUGAUGAAUCAUGAUGUCAUUAAUUUGAUGUCAUGAGGAAUCAGGACUGUUACUUUGAAAAAAUUAGAGUGUUUAAAGCAGGCUCGCGCUUGAAUACAUUAGCAUGGAAUAAUGAAAUAGGAUGUUUGAUUCUAUUUUGUUGGUUUCUAGGAUUGACGUAAUGAUUAAUAGGGAUAGUUGGGGGCAUUAGUAUUCAAUUGUCAGAGGUGAAAUUCUUGGAUUUAUUGAAGACUAACUACUGCGAAAGCAUUUGCCAAGGAUGUUUUCAUUAAUCAAGGAACGAAAGUUAGGGGAUCGAAGACGAUCAGAUACCGUCGUAGUCUUAACCAUAAACUAUGCCGACUAGGGAUCGGAUGAUGUUAAUUUUUUAAUGACUCAUUCGGCGCCUU
rnacentral:misc_RNA from 1 species